rnacentral:lncRNA from 1 species
AUGUAUCACAGCGGUUCGGAAAAGAGCUGGAAUCUCUCCUAAUUCCAUGGAAACCGGGAGGAGGGAGCGGCUCUCCCCUGCUGGACACCGGAGCCUCCGGAAUCCGGGCCCGACCGGUUCUCCCAGUGGCCUGCCCAGGUUUCCAGUGCCAUUCCUGGCUGGUGACACCGGGAUGGGAGCUGGGACAGGCUCUGGCAUUUCCCAAACAUCUCCAGGAGUUUCUUCUCCAUUCCUUCUGGAUUUUGGAGCUCCCAAAUGGAGCCUCCAAGGAAAAUCCACCUCCCCCGGGGGGUUCUGAGGGGUUUGGAGCCUUUGGCAAGAUGGGAGCUGCUGGUUUAACUGGAAUUCUCUGCGCCUGGAAGAGCCUCUGGGGUGGGGAUUCAUCCCAGGAAAACGCAGAUUCCAGGCUGGAUUCCCGCUCCCCCAAAAAAAUUCGGGAGCAGCCCCAGCUCUGGGGUGCUGCUGGUGGUCCCCAGACUCAGCCCAGAAUUCCCUAAAAAAACUUCUCGUCUCUGGGGAAGGAGCUCCCUGAGUUUUAUUUCCAAGGAAAAUUUGCUUUCCUCAAUAUUCCCACCAUCUUAAUGAGGGAAACCAUUAAGAAAGAGGAUUAAAAAUGCAAAGGCAAAACCAUAAAUGAAUUAAGGUGGACUCUGAACCUCCUCAUUUGUUUGUGGGAAGCGAAAAGGCGGCGGGUGACGAAACAGGACCCCGGCUGCAAUUCCCACUUGGAUCAUUUUCCCAUUAUUUAUUGCGCUUCUCGUUGGGCAAUCAAACUGAGACAGUAAUUAAGAGAUGAUUGAAAGGCAGAUUUUGUUUUUCUUUUUUAAUCUCACAUGAAGGAAUUUCCUCUCUUGUUUUGUAACUCCUGGGGAGCUCAGACUCACCGAGCCGGGCAGGGACCCCCUUCCUUCAUCCCACUGAUCCCAAUCCUAUUUCUUGCCCCGGAACCAGCUCUGGCAGCGGGAAAGGCAGCGCUCCACAAUGCUGGAAGUGCAGGAGUUGAGGCGGAACGGGCUCCGUGGGGACNNNNNNNNNNUCCGCCCCCAACUCCACCACCUCGAGGGUGCAGGGCUCGGUGACCGGGAGCUCCUGGCAGAGCUUCUCCAGGUUGUCCAGGCAGGUCCCGGCGGUUUUGGUGACUCCGAGCUCCUCCUGGGCCAGCGGGAAGGUCCCGGCGGUGUCAGGGGGACACAGCUCCACGGUCAGGAUGGAUUUCUGCAGCGGGAACGUCAUCACGCACAUCCCGGGGGUCUCAAAGGCAGGGCCGACUUUUCCACGGGGAGAAAGCAGCAGCUCCGAGCUGUGAUAUCCGCGUGA